rnacentral:piRNA from 1 species
UAGCAAUGGCACAGUUAUUUCUUUGGUC